rnacentral:tRNA from 1 species
GGUUUCUUAGCUCAACGGCAGAGCGCUGCACUGUUAAUGCGGAUGUACUGGGAUCGACACCCAGAGAGACCUCCA